CCUACGGGAGGCAGCAGUGAGGAAUAUUGGUCAAUGGACGAGAGUCUGAACCAGCCAAGUAGCGUGAAGGAUGACUGCCCUAUGGGUUGUAAACUUCUUUUAUAUGGGAAUAAAAUGUUCCACGUGUGGGAUUUUGUAUGUACCAUAUGAAUAAGGCUCGGCUAACUCCGUGCCAGCAGCCGCGGUAAUACGGAGGAUCCGAGCGUUAUCCGGAUUUAUUGGGUUUAAAGGGAGCGUAGGUGGAUGGUUAAGUCAGUUGUGAAAGUUUGCGGCUCAAACGUAAAAUUGCAGUUGAAACUGGCAGUCUUGAGUACAGUAGAGGUGGGCGGAAUUCGUGGUGUAGCGGUGAAAUGCUUAGAUAUCACGAAGAACUCCGAUUGCGAAGGCAGCUCACUGGACUGCAACUGACACUGAGGCUCGAAAGUGUGGGUAGCAAACAGGAUUAGAUACCCCGGUAGUC
rnacentral:rRNA from 1 species